rnacentral:lncRNA from 10 species
CACCAGCUGCUCUCGGCUGCCCAAGCCCCUCACUGUGAUGCUUACCACAGAUCUGUCCUUCCAGAAACACCUCCAGGAGGAUUAUUUCCAAUCCCCAGCUUCAACCGCCUGUCCUGCCACCCUCGUCACCCACCUGCCAGUUUGCUGCCCCACUUCCUGGAAGGCCAGCUCUGUGCAAAUCUAGACCACUUUAACCCCUCCAAGAUUUGGUUGGAGGGGCAGGCAUCAGGCAGGUAGGAGAUGCUAGGAAAUUUGAGGGGAAACUUUUAUUAAGUCUGUCCUUUGCCUAUUGGCUAACUUUAAUGGGGCAACAUAACCAACAUAACAAAUCUAAGGUAAGUGACUAGUUGCUGGAAAUCCCCCAGUCUUUGUCCGAGGUCUUUAUUGAAAUGCAAGGACAGAAUUAUAGUUAAUUCCUCUGACUUCC